rnacentral:rRNA from 1 species
UAGGGAAUCUUCCGCAAUGGACGAAAGUCUGACGGAGCAACGCCGCGUGAGUGAGGAAGGUUUUCGGAUCGUAAAACUCUGUUGCCAGGGAAGAACGGUGGGAAGAGUAACUGCUUUCCAUUUGACGGUACCUGAGAAGAAAGCCCCGGCUAACUACGUGCCAGCAGCCGCGGUAAUACGUAGGGGGCAAGCGUUGUCCGGAAUUAUUGGGCGUAAAGCGCGCGCAGGCGGUCAUGUAAGUCUGGUGUUUAAGCCCGGGGCUCAACCCCGGUACGCACUGGAAACUGUAUGACUGGAGUGCAGGAGAGGGGAGUGGAAUUCCACGUGUAGCGGUGAAAUGCGUAGAUAUGUGGAGGAACACCAGUGGCGAAGGCGACUCUCUGGCCUGUAACUGACGCUGAGGCGCGAAAGCGUGGGGAGCAAACA